GAUGAACGCUAGCUACAGGCUUAACACAUGCAAGUCGAGGGACCGGCGCACGGGUGAGUAACACGUAUCCAACCUGCCCUUUACUCGGGGAUAGCCUUUCGCAAGAAAGAUUAAUACCCGAUAUAAAGGAUGGGGAUGCGUUCCAUUAGGUUGUUGGUGAGGUAACGGCCCACCAAGCCUUCGAUGGCUAGGGGUUCUGAGAGGAAGGUCCCCCACAUUGGAACUAAGACACGGUCCAAACUCCUACGGAAGGCAGGAGUGAGGAAUAUUGGUCAAUGGGCGUUAGCCUGAACCAGCCAAGUAGAGUGAAGGAUGAAGGCUUAUUGGUCGUAAUCUUCUUUGAUAUAAGAAUAUGUAUUAUAUGAAUAAGGAUCGGCUAACUCCGUGCCAGCAGCCGCGGUAAUUC
rnacentral:rRNA from 1 species